rnacentral:lncRNA from 1 species
AUGGUGAUCUUCGACGUAAAACUACUUCCACUACUUAUCAUCCUUUUCAACUCAGUUUGGUCCACAAGUUCAAAUUCAAUUUCUGAAAGCUUACUUCAAUGUCUUUCCACUCACCUAAAGCAUUCUAACUCAAGUAAGGAAAUAAUCUUAACCACAAACAGUUCUGCUUAUUCCUCAAUCUUGCAAUCUUCCAUACAGAACCUCAGAUUCUUGAACAAUUCAACGCCAAAACCCAAAGUUAUCGUUACUCCUUUCCAUGAAUCUCAUGUUCAAGCAGCAGUUAUUUGCUCCAAGAAACAUGGCAUACAAAAAAGAUUCCAAAGUGGGGGCCAUGACCUCGAGGGCCUAUCUUAUGUAUCAUAUGCUCCUUUCAUCAUCAUUGAACUUUUCAAUCUUCAGACCAUCCAUAUUGACAUAAAGAAUGAGAGUGCAUGGGUCGAAUCGGGUGCUACACUUGGUGAAUUGUAUUACUUAAUAGCACAAAAGAGUAAUGUACAUGGAUUUCCAGCAGGGUCUUGUCCCACAAUGGGUGUGGGAGGACAUAUUAGUGGAGGUGGAUUUGGUACCAUAUUCAGGAAAUAUGGUCUAGCAGCUGACAAUGUCAUUGAUGCUAGGAUUGUUGAUGUCAAUGGCAGAAUUCUCAGCAGAAAGUCCAUGGGAGAAGAACUCUUAUGGGCUAUCAGAGGAGGAUGA